AAGUCGUAACAAGGUUUCCGUAGGUGAACCUGCGGAAGGAUCAUUAUUGGAAUAAUUUUUUAUUCUAACCAACACUGUGUGAACCUUUUAACUUGGCAUGUUCCUUGGACAAGUCUGUCUUUUGAUGGAAGACGUCCGAGGCCUCUUGGGGAUCACAAUGAGUUUAGUGAGCUUGAUUAGUAAAAGACCCUCACGGGACAAGUAACUGGUCAAAGGAACUCUAUUCGUUGCCUCACUGGGUGAUGUGUAGUCUGUUGAUCGCAAGAUUGGCCUUUACACUGUCAGGCGUGCUAAUGCUUUAUAGACGUGAGUGACGCUUUUUAGUUUUCAUACAUUGCCUUAGUCAAAUUAAAAACAUUAGCUUUCGAGUUAGUGUGUAAUAAAUUUUAGACAACCUUUAACAAUGGAUCUCUUGGUUCCU
rnacentral:misc_RNA from 1 species